UACGGAGGAUCCAAGCGUUAUCCGGAAUCAUUGGGUUUAAAGGGCGCGUAGGCGGCGUAACAAGUCACUUGUGAAAUCUCCGGGCUUAACUCGGAAAGGUCAACUGAUACUGUGCGACUAGAGUGCAGAAGGGGCAACUGGAAUUCUCGGUGUAGCGGUGAAAUGCGUAGAUAUCGAGAGGAACACCUGCGGCGAAGGCGGGUUGCUGGGCUGACACUGACGCUGAUGCGCGAAAGCCAGGGGAGCGAACGGG
rnacentral:rRNA from 1 species